UUGACGGGGUCGGCGAGGUGGUCGGCCAGGUUCUCCAGCGGGCCCUUGCCGGUCACGAUGGCCUGAACGAAGAAUCCGAACAUGGAGAACAUGGCCAGGCGGCCGUUCUUGAUCUCCUUCACCUUCAGCUCCGCGAAGGCUUCGGGGUCGUCGGCCAGGCCGAGGGGGUCGAAGCUGCCGCCCGGGUAGAGCGGGUCGGUCACCUCGCCGAGCGGCCCGCCGGCGAUGCGGUAGCCCUCCACGGCGCCCAUCAGGAUCACCUGGCACGCCCAGAUGGCCAGAAUGCUCUGAGCGUGGAUCAAGCUGGGAUUGCCCAGGUAGUCCAGUCCGCCCUCGCUAAAGAUCUGAGCGCCGGCCUUGAACCACACCGCCUCCCCGAACUUGACCCCGUUGCGGGCCAGCAACUCCGGGAAGACGCAGCCCAGGGCGCCGAGCAUAGCCCACCGGCAGUGGAUGACCUCCAGCUCCCGGUUCUUGGCGAAGGUCUCGGGGUCGGCCGACAGCCCAGCCGUGUCCCACCCGUAGUCGCCCGGGAACUCGCCGGUGAGGUAGGACGGGGGCUCGCCGGAGAACGGGCCGAGGUACUUGACGCGGUCGGGGCCGUACCACGGACUACCGGAUGCAACGGGCUUCGGCUUGGCGCCC
rnacentral:lncRNA from 1 species